GCCUGGGUGGCUCAGUCGGCUGAGCGUCCGACUUCGGCUCAGGUCAUGAUCUCGCAGUUUGUGGGUUCGAGCCCCGCGUUGGGCU
rnacentral:tRNA from 1 species